rnacentral:rRNA from 1 species
AACGUAGGACGCAAGCGUUAUCCGGAGUUACUGGGCGUAAAGCGCGGGCAGGCGGCUCGAUGCGUCUGAUGUGAAAUCUCCUCGCUCAACGGGGAGAGGCCAUUGGAAACGGUCGAGCUGGAGGGCAGUAGAGGUAGGCGGAAUUCCGGGUGGAGUGGUGAAAUGCGUAGAGAUCCGGAGGAACACCGGUGGCGAAGGCGGCCUUCUGGACAGCAACUGACGCUGAGACGCGAAAGCGUGGGGAGCAAACAGG